CGUUCGGGGUGCACGGUAAUCCGGGGUACGCCGCGGGCUCGACUCGGAUCCGGGGCUCGGGGUGCGCGGGCCGUCAGGGGUCCGAGGACGGAUCUUUGCCGCGCCGCUCACGUACUCACUUCUGCUGUGCCCGGCGCUGGCGCGGCCGCUCUGGGCGAGGGGGGCGGACACGGCCGCGUGCCAGUCAAGCCCGAGGCCCGCCUCUAGCCACCGGCCGCCCACUCACAGGCCGCCAGGAGGGCUGGCUCUGCCCCGACAGCGCUCUGCUGGAGCUCAGUUGGCGGCGCCUCCAUCAAGCCCAUCCUCAGGGUCUACAAGCCCUGGAGUGGGCGGGGCCAAGGAAAAGAUGAAUUAGAUUGGGCGGAGCAACACAGUCCAUCAGAGGGAAAACCCGCCUCCUGUCGCCUGUUGGUGGUUAGUAACCGAGGAGCUGCUAGCCAGGUACAAUGAACCGGGGGCGCCCUCCUGUGGCCGGUCCAUGCCCAGAGACGUCCCCACGUGGCUGUCUUCUCCAGGCACAUCCAGACCCUAAAUUCAGUUUUAGGUACUAUCAGGAGGCACUCACCUGGACAUAUUCUGCGACCAAGGCCUUCUCGCUCAUUCAUCAUUCAUUCAUUCAUUCAUUCAUUCAUUCGUAUAUUUCAUCCUUCUUUGAGCCAAAGACUCCAGUAACUGGCGCUACAGCAAUGGAUAAGACGAGAAUGCAAGCUUCCUGAGGGCAGGGGCUUGUCUCAUUUACCGCUGAAUCCCCAUGUAAUGCCAGUGCCCUGUAUGAAGUAGUCUCUCAACAGCAAUUCUCUAAAUGAAUCACCCCAGAAGGCAAGGCUGGAAGCAACCUUUGGCACCUGGUCCAACAAAAUCCUCAUUUUCAGGUGAGGAAACUGAGCUCAGAGAAGGACAGUCAAUGGAGCCAGAAAUCCAACAAUGAUUAGUUGUCCACACUACGCGUUGGCAGCAGCCAUUUCUCCCCCUGGGGC